rnacentral:lncRNA from 1 species
AGCUGGACCUGUAGUCAGCCUACUGGGAUUUCAAGUGAAAUCGGACACGACUCUGACAAUUGCUAUUUCUGCCAACAACACCCAAUGUGUCAACCUCGAGGUCCAGGAAACUCAUAUCAAUGUCAAGAAAGUGACCCUUCAGAUAGAAGAGAUGAUCACAGGCAUUGUGCCUGUGCCUAUCCCUAUACCUUUGCCCUUGGGAGACCUCAUCCUUCAACUGUUGUCAGUGGAGCUGAAUAAAAAGGUGCAAGAAACGGACUCCUGUGACAUUGUUCUCAAUGACUUCAACGACUGCAAGAACUGUGAGUACAAAUGCUCACCUCCUUGGGGAAGCCACCAUCAGUGGAGAGAGAUGGUCGAGGUUUCUUAAGGGAUUCCCCGGGGUGACCAACCAGAGGGCUGGAGGCUCUGA